AUUGAACGCUGGCGGCAGGCCUAACACAUGCAAGUCGAGCGGAUGAAGGGAGCUUGCUCCUGGAUUCAGCGGCGGACGGGUGAGUAAUGCCUAGGAAUCUGCCUGGUAGUGGGGGAUAACGUCCGGAAACGGGCGCUAAUACCGCAUACGUCCUGAGGGAGAAAGUGGGGGAUCUUCGGACCUCACGCUAUCAGAUGAGCCUAGGUCGGAUUAGCUAGUUGGUGGGGUAAAGGCCUUCCAAGGCGACGAUCCGUAACUGGUCUGAGAGGAUGAUCAGUCACACUGGAACUGAGACACGGUCCAGACGCCUACGGGAGGCAGCAGUGGGGAAUGUUGGACAAUGGGCGAAAGCCUGAUCCAGCCAGGGCGCGUGUGUGAAGAAGGUCUUCGGAUUGGAAAGCACUUUAAGGUGGGAGGAAGGGCAGUAAGUUAAUACCUUGCUGUUUUGACGUUACCAACAGAAUAAGCACCGGCUAACUUCGUG
rnacentral:rRNA from 1 species